rnacentral:rRNA from 1 species
AAAAGCGGAGGAAAAGAAACUAACAAGGAUUCCCCUAGUAACGGCGAGUGAAGCGGGAAGAGCUCAAAUUUGAAAUCUGGUGGCCUCAGGUCAUCCGAGUUGUAAUCUAUAGAAGUGUUUUCCGUGCUGGCUCAUGUACAAGUCCCUUGGAACAGGGCGUCAUAGAGGGUGAGAAUCCCGUCCUUGACAUGAACUACCAGUGCUCUGUGAUACAUUUUCAACGAGUCGAGUUGUUUGGGAAUGCAGCUCAAAAUGGGUGGUAAAUUCCAUCUAAAGCUAAAUAUUGGCGAGAGACCGAUAGCGAACAAGUACCGUGAGGGAAAGAUGAAAAGCACUUUGGAAAGAGAGUUAAACAGUAUGUGAAAUUGUUGAAAGGGAAACGAUUGAAGUCAGUCGUGCUCUUUGGAUUCAGCCGGUUCUGCCGGUGUACUUCCUUUGAGUGGGGUCAACAUCAGUUUUGAUCGCUGGAUAAAGGCUGGAGGAACGUAGUACCCUCGGGUAAACUUAUAGCCUCCUGUCACAUACAGUGGUUGGGACUGAGGAACGCAGCACGCCUUUAUGGCCGGGAUUCGUCCACGUACGUGCUAGGAUUGACAUACGCGAGGGAAGGAA